GUGUGUGUGUCUAUGGUUGCAUACCUGGAUACAUUGGACAAAGCUGCACAUAUCCUUGCAACAAGACUUUCUACGGUGACAACUGUAGCAGACGAUGUAACCCGGAGUGUGAGUACCAGCAGUGUCAUCUCGUGACUGGGGACUGCUUGAGUUGUCUACCAGGGAGGGUCGGCCCACAAUGUGAACAUGUUUGUGAUAACCAUACGUAUGGCUACAACUGCCUUAAUGCUUGCUCACCUUAGUGUGUGAUGUCUGAGUGUGACGUCACCAACGGCCAUUGUAUUAUAUGUAGUCCAG